AACGAAUGCUGGCGGCAGGCUUAACACAUGCAAGUCGAGCGCCCCGCAAGGGGAGCGGCCGACGGGUGAGUAACGCGUGGGAACGUACCUUUUGGUUCGGAACAACUCCGGGAAACUGGAGCUAAUACCGGAUAAGCCCUAACGGGGAAAGAUUUAUCGCCGAAAGAUCGGCCCGCGUCUGAUUAGCUAGUUGGUGAGGUAACGGCUCACCAAGGCGACGAUCAGUAGCUGGUCUGAGAGGAUGAUCAGCCACGCUGGGACUGAGACACGGCCCAGACUCCUACGGGAGGCAGCAGUGGGGAAUAUUGGACAAUGGGCGCAAGCCUGAUCCAGCCAUGCCGCGUGAGUGAUGAAGGCCUUAGGGUUGUAAAGCUCUUUUGUCCGGGAAGAUAAUGACUGUACCGGAAGAAUAAGCCCCGGCUAACUUCGUG
rnacentral:rRNA from 1 species